UUUUUUUUUUUUUGAGGUGGAGUCUCGCUCUGUUGCCCAGGCUGGAGUGCAAUGGUAUGAUCUUGGCUCACUGCAACCUCCGCCUCCCAGGUUCAAGUGAUUCUCUUGCCUCAGCCUCCUGAGUAACUAGGAUUACAUUCACCUGCCACCAUGCCCAACUAAUUUUGUAUUUUUAGUAGAGACAGGGGUUUUGUCAUGUUGGCCAGGUUGGUCUCAACCUCCUGACCUCAAGUGAUCCGCCUGCCUUGGCCUCCCAAAGUGCUGAGAUUACAGGCAUGAGCCACUGCGCCUGGCCUCUAGGAAGCUGUUGCUCAAGCUGAUCAAGGCUUUGGGCUGCCAUUUUGUGUAAUGUUUUCGUAAGACACUCCUGAAAAGUAAUUAAAAGGCAAAAACCCUAACAUACUGCAAUUUCAUAGAGAUUGCUAUGUGUAAAUUUACAAGGAUAUAUAAAAAGUAUCACGUAAUCAGGAACAGAAUUCAGAGAUUCUUCUGUGGUCCUGGCAAGGCACAGGCAUCAGAGGGCCCAGAAGGCUCCCUCCCAGGCUUACCCACUGUCAAGGUCCCAUCUGCACACACCUAAGGUAGGCUUCGUUCCUUCUUGGGCAGGGACGAACUGGUUCUCCCAUCUUCCCGUCCCUUUGAGGUGGGAAAACGUGUUUUUCUCUCCCUGCUUGAGACAAGGCUCACUGGGAUUGAUGGAAUACCUCAUCUGCUUAAUGCUUCAAAACCCCAGCGAAAUAAAAUUUCCUGAUUCACCUGAGAAGGUGGGGUUUUUCACCAAUAAGAGGGAGAGCUGCUCCUCUCCCAGUUCUGCGUUCUUCACACUCUCCAGCGUCAACUGGUCGGGUAAGGGGUUUUCAUUUUUUAAUUACCUGGCUCAACCUCAAUGCUGAUGGGGAGGGGCUGUGACUGGGGUUUUGUUGGGAAAGACUUGUGGCACUAAUUAUUGUUGUUAAUGUUCCUGGAUAAGGAAUGCUUCCAAUUGUUUUCCCUUAUAUCUGGGUAAGGGGCCCGGGAGGUCCCUUCAUAAACGGUUCUGGAAGGAUUUUUAUGCCUGGCCAAAGCCAAGUUACUUCUGGUUUCUACUUCAUCAAAACCUAAUCCACAGCCUGGGUAACAUAGCAAGAUAAAUAAUUUAAAAAAUGAACUAGUGGUGGUGGCACGUGCCUGUGGUCCCAGCUACUUGGGAGGCUGAGACAGAAGGACUGCUUGAGCCAGGAGGUCAAGGCUACAGUGAGCUGUGAUCACACCACUGCAUUCCGGCCUGGGCGAUGCAGCAAUACCCUGUCUCAAACAAGAAAAUAAAUAAAGAAUAGCGAAUUCAGAUCAAAGCUUAAUGAGCUAUAGUGGCAUUUGCAUGGAGCCUGGGAGAUGAGGCCCCAGUUAUUUGUGGCAGUCCUGGCCUUUUACUACAAGAAAAAAAAGCCACUCAUAGAGACUUUAGACCACCUGAGGUGUCCUUUGUUUGAUCUACAUAUUAAUGUAAAGUGGACAUUUUUCAGAACAUUCUCAUUUUAUGCACUGAAUGGUA
rnacentral:lncRNA from 1 species